AACACGGGGAGAACCGAGCCUCCAGGAAGAGCGCCAGGCUUUGACGAACCGUGUAAUUACAGCAACGACGUCCAUCAAGUGAUCCAAAAAGACUUUCUGCCCAUCAAGCUUACAUUGUGAAGCUUAAAAAAAGUAUACAAAUACUGUAAGAAUAAAAUAAUAAGGUGUAAAAGGAGGACUUGGGUCUGUGGAUGUGGAACCCAGAGGAAACAGCUGGUGUCGAAGUGUCUGUGGUGACAAAUCUUCCAUCAACCUGAUCUUAACCUCAGCAGACAGGUGGAGUUUACCAAACGUCACGGUGCUUAACCAGGUGAGUGAAGUGAUUUGGCCAGAUGAUGCAGUGACAGGGCGGUGACCUUUGGCUCCUCAGGAAGUGACCCAACAUUCUGAACGCGGCGUCCGAAGGAGUCGUAACCUCCUGCAGGAAAAAGCGCCGAUGUGGUCUGAAGGAGGCGACUGAUGUGUUCUCAAGGACGCAGCACAGAGAGACAGCUGUCAGCCUGCACUGAGGAGGAAAUCUGGAGAAACCUGAAUCAUUGUAAACACACCUGAGCGUGCAGUCUGAUUCUCCACGCCCACUCAGGUUACCGCCACCGUACCCUGCGGCCCCGCCCAACCCGCAGCCCCCCGAGGUGCAGCGAACAAGAGCUUCAGCAGAUACCCUGAUGGGUCUUGUUCCUGCUGUUCCUGGUUGGUUCGAGCCUGGGGACCCCCCACCCUGCCCUGGCUGAGUGCCGUGCCGCGGAGGGCAGGACGGCGCCUCGGCUACUUAGAGGCCAAGAUUCGCCGGGUUCACAGCUUCGUCUGUGAGUGGAAAACAGGAUUACAUCCUGCGGUUUGUCUAAAUCCACUGACCCGGGGAGAAGAAAAGCUCUCACUGUGGUUCUCUGAGGCUGAUGUCUGAUUAAGAGCCUGAAACACCAUUACAGAACAUUUGAGGUAUUCAGCUGCCAGAGAGCAGAGCGACGGGCACUGACUGCAGCAGGUGGAGCUUUACGAGGCUGAAACUCAAACAUUUUAAUGAUAUAAACAGUUCAAAGUAUCAACAAACAGAAAUAGGACCUUGUUUUGAUAAAGAAAAAUAAAAUAUAAAAGCAGUAUUAUAAAUAUUUUACAAUAUUUAGAGAAGGUUUCUCAUUAUAAUCACUUAUAGAAUUCUUUUUUCCUCCAUCACAUUGGCAUAAAUGGGCUUCCAUACAUUUCUCAGUCUGAGUUUGGUGGGUUGAGCUGGAC